CACAUCGACGGGGAGGUUUGGCACCGCGAUGUCGGCUCAUCGCAUCCUGGGGCUGUAGUCGGUCCCAAGGGUUGGGCUGUUCGCCCAUUAAAGCGGUACGCGAGCUGGGUUCAGAACGUCGUGAGACAGUUCGGUCCCUAUCCGUCGUGGGCGUAGGAAAUUUGAGAGGAGCUGUCCUUAGUACGAGAGGACCGGGAUGGACAUACCUCUGGUGUACCAGUUGUCGUGCCAACGGUAUAGCUGGGUAGCUAUGUGUGGACGGGAUAAGUGCUGAAAGCACCUAAGCAUGAAGCCCCCCUCAAGAUGAGAUUUCCCAACUUCGGUUAUAAGAUCCCUCAAAGAUGAUGAGGUUAAUAGGUUCGAGGUGGAAGCAUGGUGACAUGU
rnacentral:rRNA from 1 species